CAGUGGAGUAUAAUGUAUGGUAUGCUGGUUGCAUAUAGGGGUAGUGUGUGUCAUAUAAGCGCCUUGUCUUACACCCCUCCUCCCUCGUCUCAUGAUAAAGUGUGUGCAGCAGGUUUGCCUUGCUAAGUAUACCUGAGGGAACUCUACACUCUGUAGCUUAACUUUAUCAUCGCUGACAUGCUAGUAUGAGUGUUUGGGGAGAGAGAGUGUGCAGACGGCCUUGGUCAACCCCUAACACACUUCACCAGCUACUGCAGAGACACAGUAAUCCGUCAUACUUACCUACACACAAACACACAGUCAUAUGCAUGCACUGCAAGGAUACAUAUCUAUACAGUACAUCUAUAUAUCACUUUAGACUUCACAUUAAAGGGGACACUCACAGAUGCUUCAGAUGUGAGACUAAAAAGAAAAAUAACAGUUGUACGCUAUGUACAGUAUGUUCGAUCCAAAAUUACAGGACUGAAUAAAAACUUUCAAAAGAAGAAUUAGAAAGUAGAAGUGUUCAAUUUAUUUGUAACCUGAAGCGGCACAAGCUGAAACCUUUUGAUUUUUCAAUAUUCCUAAUAAAUCAGUUUUUAAAAUUAAUUAAAAUUAAUUAUCUCUAGGGUGGCAAUCAGUGUAACAGACCACUAUGAUGAACUUGUGUUAUAACUGUAUGCUUAUUUGUGUGUGUGUGUGUGAGAGAGAGAGAGAGAGAGAGAGAGAGAGAGUGUGUGACUUUGGAAGGAGUAGAAAUAAGGAUAAACGAGAGCAAGGGGGUUUAAAUGUGGUUGAAGACGGAGAAAGAGAUAGUUGCUGUUCUGUGUAAAACAAUAAAAGCCGAUUCAUGUCUACAUUCCUCAGCUGGUAGUAAAACCUGCUCGCUUACUUUAGAUGAGGGCUCUGCCAGUCUCUUUCCCCACACAGGCCUCUUUCCCUGUCUUGGGUUCUCUUUCCUCUUGCUCUGUUUUUUACAUGCUACUGUACAGCUGGAGAUUUCACACAAACAGGCCAAAAAUCUGAUCUAAGUAUACUGUUCCUACAAGCAUUCUUCUGGUACAGUGUGUGUGUCUGAGUCCAAAUUUUGACGUGUGUGUGUGUGCGUGUGUGUGUCAAAAACUGUGUUUUUGUAUAUGUGUGUUUUGAGUAGCUUGACACACACACAUAUUUCAAGACAAUCCCAGACCUUGCUGUGAUGUAAGUGUGUAAAGACAGACCAUUGUAAGAACAGUUUCUGGCUGCCCCGCAGAAACAACAAGUCCUUUUGGUGUUACCUGGUCUGGAGAGCAGGAAGCAGAGAGGGUCUAAUCAGCCUGGUUUCAGCUUCUUCAUCCUUAUCUUCGUCCUGGGCUGACUCGCCAGGCAUUCCUUUCCUCUCCACCAGCGGGAGACUCCUAUCCUGUGUUGGCCCCAGCUUCAUACAAACAUCUAUAAAAGUGAUAUCUAAGCAGGAUUAUGAACUGUAAGGUGGGAGACAGAAGAGUUUUAACAUGUUGUCUUUGAUUAAUCAACUCAUGUCGAGCAUAACAAGCGUUUGUAUCUACUUUUUCAUGCUAGGAGAUGCUUUCAGGUGUUAAAGCAGCAUUGAGGGGCUGAUUUAUCUUAAAACAUUACUUUUCACUUUAUAAAAGUGUUAAACUCACACAGACACAAGCUGAGCAGAGAGAAAGUGGCAAAUUGGGCUUUGAUUUUGAAAUUCAUAGUAGAGUUUUCAUGCUUGUGACAUAAACACAGCUGAUUCAGAGCCCACACAGCCUUAAGUGUAUCAUUUUUUGGUGUGUUUUUUUCUGAGGUCUGUGCAUAGCUGGAGGAAGAAACCAACCAACCUUCUAUUUUCUGGAUUUUCAGCUAGUGAAACUGAAGUGAGACGGAUCAAAGAGGGUAACCUACACACCAGAGUAAGCUAUCGGCUAUUGGCCCAUUCUUUCAUGGUUAACUCAAGUUGGGCUGUGUUAUGACCUGGCAUCCUGUUAUAUGUUCAUAAAGACAGAUUAAAGCUGCAUGAAUCCUCUGACAGAGAGAGUGUUGACAGUUUUUUACCAUGACAACAUCACAAUAUGAAAAAGAGAAAAUUGGUAAAAACACUACAGUAACACAAUCAUAUGGGGCUGAGGUGCAGAUCUAAAUCUCCUAUUUAUUCUCCUAUUAUAGCCCCAGAUGCUGAUAAUACAGUUAUUGGAGUAUUAUUUUUAGUGAGAUACAAAGUUUGUCAUUGUCAGUUUCAAUAAGGUUUCAGUGAUAAGAAAAGAGCCAGAAAAGUCAAAUUUAAGUUAAGUGUCUAUAUUUAGUACAUUAAAGGGUAGUGGAUCAGUUGUCCUUCUCUUCUUUCUAGGGCUGCUUGAUUAUGGGAAAAAGUCAUCAAGAUGAUUAUAAGGAUUAAUACUAUUAUCACCAUUGUUACAAGCACCCAUAUUUUGACAUCUGCAUCACAUUUGACACCUUCAUUCAACCUAAAAGACAUAACAGGGCAACACAGCAGACAGCACUUCAUCAUUGAGUCUUUGGUCUUGGCGAUAAUAUUUCUAUGAUCAUAAUCAAAGUUAAAAUCUCAUUUAUUUAGGAUCCUUCCUAACCUAAAAAGAAGAAUCUAAGCUGACCAAAGGUGCCACAAAUGAAAGCAGAAUGCAGUCCACUCUGCUGUGUGUGUGUGUGUGUGUGUGUGUGUGUGUGUGUGUGUGAGCAGAUGCUUUUUCCUCAGCAUCCCUCACCCUGUUCUGGUAUUCCCACCUCACCAGCUUUAAAUUACUGUUUGCCAGUAUAGCCCCCUUACCCGCCCUCUGUGAACUCUUUUAUCCCUCUGCUUCUUACCUGAUUAUCCUCUUUCCUUUUCUCUUUUCUCUCCUCCAGCUUUCUCUCUCUGUUUACUCUGUCUCUCCUACUUUUUUCAUUCUGUGGUUUCUGGGCUUUGCAGGAAUUCCUCCUCAGCUCCACUCCUCGAAUCAAUUCCCCUCCGAGUCAGUCACUUCCCUUUCUCUUUUUUUACCCUCACCUCCCAUGUCUCAUCCUCCUUUUUUCUCUAGCUUCACAUUGAUUUGAAGUGCCUAUUUUCUCAGUUUUACACAGCUCUACAGCACAUCCAUGCCUCUCCACUCACCUGUUUUUUUUUUCUUUCCACAAUCACUGCUUCCUUUUUCUGUCCACCUCUUGUAUCUGCUCUCUUGCUCUCUCUCAUUUUCUCUCAUCAUGUCAGUGUUAUCUGCUGAUUUGCUCCAUCCCAAACCUCCCACUCCUUCCCCGUCCUCAUCUCUUUCUCUCUCUCUCUCUCUCUCUCUCUUUCUCUCUAUUCUCUUUUCUGUUGGCUCUGUCUUUUAUGGGAACUGGUGGGAGGCUUUGGUGGUCCAUCUUGAGUAAUAGUUUGUUUUGAUGCACUGGUACAGAUAGGGAUAGAGGCUUAAGGACCAGGACAGAGGGGGGGAAACAGAGUGGGAAAGGACAAGAAUAGAUCAAUUUGUCCAGAGAAAGAGAAGAGGAAGAGGAGGAAAUGAAAGAGCAGACAAUAGGAGAGGAGGAAGAGACAUAUGAGUGAUGGCUCUCUUCACAGUGGCUGGUUUUCCCUCACAGUGGACCCUCAGGGCUGAGGGUGAGAAUGAAUUAAGGCUAUGCAGACCUCUGGAGACCCUCUUACUUCGUGAGGGGAUACAGUGAUGAGGGUGAGGAGAAGGAGGCAGCGCCCUGAGUUGGGGAGUCAGGGGGAAAAACCCCCAAGAGGUCCCUGUGUGGCGUGAGAACCAUGUCAAAGCUAUAGAUGGCAGCCUGCGAGGAUUAUGCAAAGUCAAAAAGCAGAUGACUGAGCACACACAUGGCAUGUCUGUCGAUCUCCCUCCU
rnacentral:lncRNA from 1 species